rnacentral:misc_RNA from 1 species
CCAAACUUGGUCAUUUAGAGGAAGUAAAAGUCGUAACAAGGUUUCCGUAGGUGAACCUGCGGAAGGAUCAUUUCCAAAAAACACUUUACUAUCAACUCAGAAGGGGAAGAGGCAGUGGCAACACUGUUUCUCCUUUUUCUAUGUGAAAAUGUAUUUUUUCUUAUUUUACUCUCAACGAGGGGUUAGAGGGAUGAUACAUCUCUCUCUCUCUUGGAGAGAGACGUGGAGAGAAAAAAUAUUUUAACAUUUUUCCUCCAUAAAUGCACAUGAUGGAUCUUCUAGUUUCGAUUGUUUAUUUUUUUCCUGUUGAAAAAACAAAUAAAACGACAACUUUUAACGGUGGAUCUCUAGGCUCGUGCAUCGAUGAAGAACGCAGC